rnacentral:lncRNA from 1 species
AUAUAUAUAUAUAUAUAUAUAUGGUAAAUUUUUACUACUCCCUAGGAGUAGUUACUCCCUCCUUCAACCAGGCACAGAUACUACACCCGUCUCCCCACGUUUGACCUUUCUUAGCGGGUUAACAACCAGACCCGCUUAGAAAGUACGAUCCUAAAAUCUAGGAUCUUGUGUUGCCCUACACAAAUACACCGGCCGCAUCAUUUACGUUUGAGCACGCCACGCAUUUUUCUUUCCUCUCUUUCUCUCCCGAUUUCUCUCCUACUAUUUUUGGAUCUCACGCAUGGUGCUCUCCUCUGUGUGAGUGGCACCCUGGCUUGGCCACGACGACGACGUGCUCCUCAUGGCUGGGCGACUCGAGCUGUAUGGGUGACCGCUGGCUCCAAACGGCGGCGCCGCAGAGCCAUGUCGAUUGCACGACAUAAGCGCAGAUUUGUUCUUCAACGCCUCUAGUAUAUGCUAAUACUUUUCAGAUUCUAGUAUAUGCUAAUACUUUUUAGAUUCUAGUAUCUGCUGAUACUUUUCAGAUUCUAGUAUCUGCUGAUACUUUUCAGAUUCUAGUAUUUGUUGAUACUUUUCAGAUUUCUUAUUUCAUAUUAUAAUGUCAGUUCGUAGUAUUACGGCAGCGGCGUGGUACCAUCUGCUUUAUCUCGGCAUAUAUGUAGUGUGUGCACUCCUCUAUUUAGUGCGAAUCCAUUAGAAGAUCAAAUAGGCUUGUCUGAUCAUGUAAUCAUACUCGUAUAUAUACUCAGUGCAUAUAUGUAAGUAUGCUCCAUUUGUCAAGAAUGAAUGCACACAGUACACAGAGAAUCUUUG